rnacentral:rRNA from 1 species
CCUACGGGAGGCAGCAGUAGGGAAUCUUCCACAAUGGGCGAAAGCCUGAUGGAGCAACGCCGCGUGGGUGAAGAAGGUCUUCGGAUCGUAAAACCCUGUUGUUAGAGAAGAAAGUGCGUGAGAGUAACUGUUCACGUUUCGACGGUAUCUAACCAGACAGCCACGGCUAACUACGUGCCAGCAGCCGCGGUAAUACGUAGGUGGCAAGCGUUAUCCGGAUUUAUUGGGCGUAAAGGGAACGCAGGCGGUCUUUUAAGUCUGAUGUGAAAGCCUUCGGCUUAACCGGAGUAGUGCAUUGGAAACUGGGAGACUGGAGUGCAGAAGAGGAGAGUGGAACUUCAUGUGUAGCGGUGAAAUGCGUAGAUAUAUGGAAGAACACCAGUGGCGAAAGCGGCUCUCUGGUCUGUAACUGACGCUGAGGUUCGAAAGCGUGGGUAGCAAACAGGAUUAGAUACCCUUGUAGUC